GGCCUACCAUGGUGGUAACGGGUAACGGGGUGUUAGGGCACGACACCGGAGAGGGAGCCUGAGAAACGGCUACCACAUCCAAGGAUGGCAGCAGGCGCGCAAAUUACCCAAUCCCGACACGGGGAGGUAGUGACAAUAAAUAACAAUACGGGGUUCUUUCGGAUUUCGUAAUUGGAAUGAGUACAAUUUAAAUCUCUUAACGAGGAACAAUUGGAGGGCAAGUCUGGUGCCAGCAGCCGCGGUAAUUCCAGCUCCAAUAGCGUAUAUUAAAGUUGUUGCAGUUAAAAAGCUCGUAGUUGAAUUUCGGGGUUAGUAGGUUGGUCAUGCCUCUGGUAUGUACUGGUCUCACUGAUUCCUCCUUCCUGAUGAGCCGUAAUGCCAUUAAUUUGGUGUUGCGAGGGAUCUGGACUGUUACUUUGAAAAAAUUAGAGUGUUUAAAGCAGGCUAACGCUUGAAUACAUUAGCAUGGAAUAAUGAAAUAGGACGUUCGAUCCUAUUUUGUUGGUUUCUAGGAUUGACGUAAUGAUUAAUAGGGAUAGUUGGGGGCAUUAGUAUUCAAUUGUCAGAGGUGAAAUUCUUGGAUUUAUUGAAGACUAACUACUGCGAAAGCAUUUGCCAAGGAUGUUUUCAUUAAUCAAGAACGAAAGUUAGGGGAUCGAAGACGAUCAGAUACCGUCGUAGUCUUAACCAUAAACUAUGCCGACUAGGGAUCGGAUGAUGUUAAUUUUUUAAUGACUCAUUCGGCGCCUCACG
rnacentral:rRNA from 1 species